CGUGCACUAGUGGGGUCCCUCAGCCUGGCCUGUGCCCUUCUGCAAUCCAGGACCCCUCAGGGGAUGUUGGGAGCUGGUUUUGGCCCGAUCUCUGCAGGCCAGGCUGAGGGACCCCACUGGUGCACG
rfam:Myotis lucifugus cont2.5432, whole genome shotgun sequence.